CAGAGGGUAGUUUAACUUAGAAUCUA
rnacentral:tRNA from 1 species